GUUUUGUCAUAAUAAUUAUAGUUACCAUUUUUCCGCACCUUUUUCACAGUUGAGACAAAAUUCCAAGAACAUGGAACAGAUGCAUGAAAAAUAUUAGAUACUUCGUCCAUGCACGUUUAAAAAAAUAAAAAAUAAAAAUUAGAUUUAACACUUGAGAAGGGUCAGCUCAUUUGAUGGUUCAGCAUAGUCCAUUUGCCAACUUGGUCUUCCAAGAGUGAACUCUAGAUUAAUCAACAUGUCUGAAGAUGACAAGGAGCUAGAGUCCAACCUCUCCUUCACUCUUUCAGACAUAUGGAGGGUUGCCAUGGGUCCUUCCUCCUUGGCAUCAUGUGCAUUGAAAUGAGAAUAUGUUGAAGCCUCGUUGUUUGAUCUAUUUUGGUCCCUUGUCUCCAUUGAUGAUGACCAAGAGCCCGAACCUCUGUUAACAAGAUUACCAAGAAAUCAAUGCCAAAGGAAAUUACCAAUGAUAAUUAAUUAUGGAAGAUGGAAAACACAGCGAGUCCAUAACAAGAAAAGAAAUGUUUAAAUUUAUGUUGUUUCUUUGAUGCUGAUUAAGCUCCCUUCAUUGCUUCACUGUUGAAAGAUUUUCUUGGACUAUUUUUCCCUGCUGCCCCCCACCUUUUAUUUUCAAAAGGGCUAAAAGAAACGUGAGAAAGGUUUUCUUUUAAAUGGGAACGCAUGCAUCCAUUCUGCAACAUGAAAUUAUGAGUGCUCAGCUAAGAGCAUUAAUUCAAGAUUGAAAUUUGGCAUUUCAAGAAACUCAAAAAGCAAAUAAAUAUGGCCUACAGAACUCGAUCCUUUGGUUUUUUUUGUUGAUUUUUAACAGUUGUGUAUAUAUAUAAGCCAACAAAAUCCAGCCAAAACAUUAAUGGCUCGAUCAACUAAAGGAAAUAAAGAAUUACCAAUUGAGAUAGGGUGUGAGCUAUGGAAACACAAUUACCUGUUGGAUUAUUAUUUUUUGUUUACAUAAAAGCAUUGAGAUUUGAACCAAUCCCUUGACUUUCAGAAUACGGUGGGAUCAAGGCACUAUCAUUAAUCCAACGGAUAUAGAAUGUUAGCUAUCCUUACAUUAUUAUUCAAGGUUCACGUAAAUCACUACUGUGCCUAGAAACCCUAGGUGAAGUUCAUUAAACUCUAUUUAAGUACUAGAGGCUCUAGUCUAUUAAUAAAAACCUACAUAGACAGAACAUGUUGGACCAAAAAGUCCACCACCAAAAGGCAUUUGUGUAUGUGCGUGCAUGUAUGUUUGCAUUGGUUUAAUGGUUUCAUUGAAGUAAGCAUUAUUGUCCAUUUUAAAAUGAUGGAGAGGAUAAGAUGAACCUUUGGACAAAAAGAAAACAAGCAAAUAAGGGAGAAAGCAUGCAGGAGAAGCACCCACCUUAUUUGGGUUUUUUGUAUGGUUGGUAGUGGUGAUGUUGGUGGUGGGUUGUAAGAACAACAAGGGUUGGUUUCAGCUUUUCCAGAAGAUAAUCCUGCAUCCACAUCAACGAUUCCUGCCCUUUGCUUCAAACCCAUAUCUAUCUGGCCUUGACCUGCAAUAAUCAUAGAUAGAACCGUUGGUUCUGCUUUAUCAGACAUCAAGUAAACAAUUCACAAGGAGUAUCAAGUCCGUCCAAUCCAAACCAUUUUUGUUUUGGUUCAAAGCAGUAAAUCAAAUGAUAAGAGUUUUGAUCACACUUGAAUCACCCUGUUCUCUAUCUCAAGUAAAGAGAAUAAUAGUAUAGAAGAUAAAUUAAGGCUCGUUUGGAAGGAAAAUGUAAUUUACCUGAUCCUUUGUCAGUGCCCUUCACUGUUCUAUACAUCUGCAUGAACAUCCACAGAAAAAUAUGAGAAAAAAAGUCCACAUUGCUAAGAUUAACCUCUAGAUGCCUUUUUGUCCGUACCCCUUUGUUCUUCACCCCCACUGCCAAUGAGUCAUAGCAAUACAUAUACAGAAAAAUGACGGUAAAAGUGCAAAAACAACAAUGGGAACAUUGAAAAUUUUCUAUCCCAUACAUAAUUUCAAAGCAUUUCAGAUUGAACACAGUAACACCACCUGCAAGUGACUCUUCACGUGAGCUAGGGUUAGAUCCUUCACAUUCAUCAACUCCAAAACUGAUUUGGGUGUUGCUCUUUCAUGGCCACCCAGAAGCUGGACCGCAUGAACAAAAUGGGCAUGGAGAGUUGUGGUCCAUCUCAUUCUAGGAGCUCUGACGCUUCUUUUCACCCCACUAAUCAUUCUUCCAUUUCUCUUGAACUCUCGGCCAUAGAUUUGAGGUUGUUGGUGGUGAUGAUUAUGGUGAUUAAGAUUUCUUGGCAGUUGCAGUGUUGGAGUACACAAAUCUGCCAUUUCAAAACCUAAGCUCAAAGUAGGCUCACUAGGACCAAGAUUAUAACUGCUUUCUUGAUUAAAGAAGCCAUUUUCAUGGCUCAAAUCGCUUCCACUGCUACCGGAAUCCGUAGUUGAGGUUCUAUUACUGUAAAAGGCUUUCCUUGUUAAUCCUCCUUCAUAGUCCAACUUUUUAAUUGCUUCACAAUCGGAGGCCGAUGGUGGGCUGAUCUGCAAGGAAAGAUCAGGCAAAGGUGAUGUAUUUCUCAUUAUCGGGUUUGAGCUUGAGAACAUGAGGAUGAUGGAGAUCUAAUUUAGUCAGACUCGCAAGGGAGAAAGAAUAAUGAGAAAGUUAAAAAGGAAAGAAAGAGGAUUAAAUAAGACGAAUAAAGAAAGUAUAAUAGAAAAGCAAGAAAUGGGCUAGGCAACAACUUCGAAACGAAAGCUAUUUCUGGGAGGAGGAAUAGAUGAAAAGCAACGGAGUUGUGAUUAUAUGAUUAUAUAAUGAGUGCCUUAUGAUUUGCAUGGGCGUUGAGAGAGAGAAGAGAAAAGAAAGAGAUAGAAGAGGGUAAAGUAAAGAGAAAGAAUAGGCAUUUUUCAGUAGGAUUCCUCUAGGGUUAAUAGAUAUAGGAGAUCAGAGAUGGGAAAAAAAUAUAUAAACAGAGGUGAAGGAAUUGAAGAAUACAGAGAGUACUAGUCAGAUUAAAAAAAUGAAAGAAAGGAGAAAGUAACAGAGGUUUUCUGGGGAUGAUGGUUUAAAUGAAAAGUUAGUGCAAAAUGGGAAGUUGUGUAUUCAAUUCAAGAAUGCAGAGGGAUCAGAGACAUUUCUUCAGAGAUAUGGAGAAGAGGGUAGGGGUC
rnacentral:misc_RNA from 1 species